rnacentral:tRNA from 1 species
GACCACGUAGCUCAGUUGGCAGAGCAUUGGACUAGUAUCCCAAAUGUCGCGGGUUCGACUCCCACCGUGGCCA